rnacentral:lncRNA from 1 species
GGCAUGUUUUGACCAUUUAAUACCAGAUAGAUAUAUAGUUCUUUGGGAAAAUAAGAGCUCUUUUGUACUAAAAAGUUUUAUUUACAAAAAAAUAUAUUGCAACUUAUAUUGACCCCUCAUAAAAAGGAUAUUUAUAAAAUUGAGGGGUUGUUCCCAACCUGAUUAUGACUUGGAUGGAGAAUUGUCUCAUUAAUUGGCACACAUACAUAUACCAAAUCUAAUUAUUCAAUUAUUUAUUGGUGAACAGGGA